AGAGUUUGAUCCUGGCUCAGAUUGAACGCUGGCGGCAGGCUCAACACAUGCAAGUCGAGCGGGAAUAGGUAGCUUGCUACUGAUUUCAAGCGGCGGACGGGUGAGUAAAGCUUAGGAAUCUGCCAUUUAGUGGGGGACAACAUUCCGAAAGGAAUGCUAAUACCGCAUACGUCCUACGGGAGAAAGCAGGGGAUCGUAAGACCUUGCGCUAAAUGAUGAGCCUAAGUCGGAUUAGCUAGUUGGUGGGGUAAAGGCCUACCAAGGCGACGAUCUGUAGCGGGUCUGAGAGGAUGAUCCGCCACACUGGGACUGAGACACGGCCCAGACUCCUACGGGAGGCAGCAGUGGGGAAUAUUGGACAAUGGGGGGAACCCUGAUCCAGCCAUGCCGCGUGUGUGAAGAAGGCCUUAUGGUUGUAAAGCACUUUAAGCGAGGAAGAGGCUUACCUAGUUAAUACCUAGGCUAAGUGGACGUUACUCGCAGAAUAAGCACCGGCUAACUCUGUGCCAGCCGCCGCGGUAAUACA
rnacentral:rRNA from 1 species